GGAGACUUAAUAUCAAGUUUAAAUCCCAUUUUCAUCAACCUCACUUCAAAAUCACACCAUAUAUUAGCCUAAUAAAGACGAAAUUUCCUAACAAAAAAGCAAGGAGGGCUGGAGCUGGUCGGAGCUUUCCCAGAGUCACUGGCAGGGUCCUUCCUUCCCUGCUCCUCGCAGUCAGCCUGGCAGAAAAACCCCGAACACCUUAACACCAACUGCACAGGCUCCCUCCUUUCCUGGAAGCAUUUCUUUGUCCUGUGGAAACCUGAAUGCAUACAAAACUAUGCAAGGAGUCCCCACCAGUUCUCAUUAUGAGUGGUGUAAAGGAUGCCAGAUGAUUAUCGGAGGCCUUCCCACCGAACCCACAGCUUCAGGGGGACGCAGGGAGGCUGGCAAGAUAGGGAAAUCCUGUGGCCAAAAGCUUUUGGAGCGAGCAGUUUCUCCUCCCACUUGCAGAGACCACACUUAGAUUUUUGUGGUGUCAUAAAUAUGCUCUUUAGUGUGCGCACUAAUAGGUCUCUGGAACACAUCUGGGUUUGGUGGCUCCGGACCCCGAGGCGUGUGCAUGAAGGCGAGGCUGUCACCCUAGCUCCACGCAUCGCUCAGCCAGCCAGGAAUACUCCGUGGAAAGCAAGGGAAGAGAAACAGCUCCAGAAGUUCAGAAGUUUGCUCCUCCUGAAAUUUCAUUGGCCUGCAGGUUACCCACAGUCUCAACUCCCCUGCUGACAAUUUGGAGAAUAAUAUUAAAUGGAUUUGCACGUGGCAGCCGGAGAUGUCAUUUGCACUCUGACACAGGCUAAGUCACUUACGACUAUUGAUCCCAUCAGAGGCUCGCACCGGGCCAGCCUGGGCCCUAGCCAAACCUUGUUUAAAUCAAAAGCCGAACUUGCCUUGCUGUCUCUGGGCUGCUCGCCCCGGGAGGAGGCAGGAGGCAGGCAGAGCUCCAGCCUGCUCAGCUGGAGAGUAAAGCUCCAGGGCUGAUCUACUGGAAUCGUGAAGGAUCCUUUCAGUGACUUCAGUGAGCCAUAUACCUUGGCAAGCCUGGUGCUUGGUGGGGUUAUUUGCACGUGGUGAUCCCAUACUGACCCUCGUUCCUCUCUUCUGGGCUAUCCUAAAGUCACCCAUUGUAUUAUUUUUGUUGUUGUUGUUGUAGAGGUUGGAGUCCAAGGCCUCUGCUCAGCUCUCAGAUCUACAGGGGGGCGUGUUACAGUGACCCCCCUGCAAUUAUUGCAGACCCCCUGCAAUCGAUGGCCGUUACAUGCCUAUACUGCUUCAAGGACCUAGGACCGAUGGAGUCAGGGACUUUUGAGGAUCUACAUCUUCCUUACAAGCUGUGAUUCAUCCAGUUGCACUUACUCACC